GCAUUCAUGUUUUCUUUUCAUCUGUAACCCUUACGCGAAAGCCUCGUCUCCCACCAAGUAGAAGCAGCUACGUCUCCAACCACAGCAGAAGCACCUACGUCUCCAACCACUAUAACAACAACAUUCGCAUCCUCCAAGCACAACAACAUCAUCGAUAUUUCAAUUGGGCACUAUCAAUUAAGGGUUUGUGAAAUUCGUUCUUCUUCUCGAUCAAUUUUUGCAGCGACGAACCAGUUCUCGUAUCUUCCGGCAGCGGGCCAACAAUGGCGAACUAGCAACCACUACACGACGGUCCUUCUUUGAAUAACUAAAGAAUGCUUGGAUAAAGCAAUAUCAAUAUGUGCACCGGGAGUGGAAUUCAAGGCAAUUUGAAAAUCAAUUCAAAAACAAUGAAAGCAAGACACUACACGUAAGGCAAAUCAUAAGGGGUUCUUCUUUUUAUCACCCCAAAUAACAACACAUGAACUACCAAUGAAAGAGAGAAUGCAAAAAAUAGUAAGUAUAUUUCUUGACAAUGGAGUGAUUAAUAAGUUUGUUCUUGCUCCUAUCAAUACAGGGUAAUACUUUUUUUUUCCUAACUUUAUCAAUAAUGUAUUAUUUUCAAAGUUAGAUGCACAAAAUCUAAUUUUGUUGAUUGAUUUCCAAUUUUAACCAACAUUGGGUCUUGCUCGGAAUCAAUCUUAAAAUGGAGAUAAUUUAUUAUCUUGACCCAUUGGCAAAAGACAUUAAUAUAAGGCAAGAUUUGAAGAAGUUGUUUGACAUGGUUAAACAAACCUACCGAGCUCAAAGAGGGUCUAUGGUUUCAAAGUCUAAGUUAAGCAAUAUCAAAUGGACACCGAUUAAGUGUCCAAAACAAUCAAACGGCCAUGAUUGUGGGUAUUACAUUUGUCGAUAUAUGAAGGAAAUUGUCACAUAUUGUGAAGGAGGGACAAUUCCAAUAGAUUAUUUUCCUAGUUGCAGAUGUCAACAAUAUUCGGACAAUCAAAUCAUUGAAGUCAGGGAAGAUUGGUGUUUUUAUCUCAUUAGUAAAUCUUUAUAGGUUAGUAGGGAAGGUUAGGAACAAUGUUUUGCCUAAAGUGUUUUGGCCCCACAGUCUAGCAAAAAUGGAACAUGAUGGAUGAGUA